rnacentral:rRNA from 1 species
GCUUCUCUUGAGAGCGGCGGACGGGUGAGUAAUGCCUAGGAAUCUGCCUGGUAGUGGGGGAUAACGUUCGGAAACGGACGCUAAUACCGCAUACGUCCUACGGGAGAAAGCAGGGGACCUUCGGGCCUUGCGCUAUCAGAUGAGCCUAGGUCGGAUUAGCUAGUUGGUGAGGUAAUGGCUCACCAAGGCGACGAUCCGUAACUGGUCUGAGAGGAUGAUCAGUCACACUGGAACUGAGACACGGUCCAGACUCCUACGGGAGGCAGCAGUGGGGAAUAUUGGACAAUGGGCGAAAGCCUGAUCCAGCCAUGCCGCGUGUGUGAAGAAGGUCUUCGGAUUGUAAAGCACUUUAAGUUGGGAGGAAGGGUACUUACCUAAUACGUGAGUAUUUUGACGUUACCGACAGAAUAAGCACCGGCUAACUCUGUGCCAGCAGCCGCGGUAAUACAGAGGGUGCAAGCGUUAAUCGGAAUUACUGGGCGUAAAGCGCGCGUAGGUGGUUCGUUAAGUUGGAUGUGAAAUCCCCGGGCUCAACCUGGGAACUGCAUCCAAAACUGGCGAGCUAGAGUAUGGUAGAGGGU